AUGUUGGCCUCAGGUUCUCUCCUCAGAACACACCUACUGACCACAAACAACUGACAUUCAAUCAGACACAUUCAACACAACUGUUUACUCAAUAUGUUCUCCAUACAGACAUGAAAAAAGAACAGACGGUAGUUUGACAUGACUUUGACAUUUACAUGUAUGUGUCCUGGUGGGGGAUACAGUGCUGCAGUGG